rnacentral:rRNA from 1 species
GACGAACGUUGGCGGCGUGCUUAAUACAUGCAAGUCAACUGAAGCAGUGUAGCAAUAUCGCUGUGGAGGUGGCGCACGGGUGAGUAACACGUAGGUAAUCUGCCUUCAGGUCUGGCAUAACUCCGGGAAAACGGGGCUAAUAGCAGAUGAUGCAGCGGCUCGACAUCGGGACAGGUGUUAAAGCUAUUGCGCCCGAAGAUGAGCCUGCGUCUGAUUAGCUAGUUGGCGGGGUAACGGCCCACCAAGGCAACGAUCAGUAGCUGGUCUGAGAGGAUGAUCAGCCACACUGGAACUGAGACACGGUCCAGACUCCUACGGGAGGCAGCAGUAAGGAAUAUUGCUCAAUGGGAGAAAUCCUGAAGCAGCAACGCCGCGUGAGGGACGAAGGGCUUUUGCUCGUAAACCUCUGUAGUGAGAGAAAAAAAUCCCAAUCUUUGGGACAUGAUGGUAUCUCAAAAGUAAGCCCCGGCUAACUACGUG